rnacentral:rRNA from 1 species
CAGCAGCCGCGGUAAUACGAAGGGUGCAAGCGUUACUCGGAAUUACUGGGCGUAAAGCGUGUGUAGGUGGUUGUUUAAGUCUGUCGUGAAAGCCCUGGGCUCAACCUGGGAAUUGCGAUGGAUACUGGGCGACUAGAGUGCGGUAGAGGAUAGUGGAAUUUCCGGUGUAGCAGUGAAAUGCGUAGAGAUCGGAAGGAACAUCUGUGGCGAAGGCGACUAUCUGGGCCAACACUGACACUGAGACACGAAAGCGUGGGGAGCAAACAGGAUUAGAUACCCGCGUAGUCCCUGUCUCUUAUAA